GAGUUUGAUCCUGGCUCAGGAUGAACGCUGGCGGCGUGCCUAACACAUGCAAGUCGAGCGAAGCGAUUUGGAGGAAGUUUUCGGAUGGAAUCCGGAUCGACUGAGCGGCGGACGGGUGAGUAACGCGUGGGUAACCUGCCUCAUACAGGGGGAUAACAGCUAGAAAUGGCUGCUAAUACCGCAUAAGCGCACGGUAUCGCAUGAUGCAGUGUGAAAAGCCGAGACGGUAUGAGAUCGGACCCGCGUCUGAUUAGCUAGUUGGUGGGUAACGG
rnacentral:rRNA from 1 species